GACGAACGCUGGCGGCGUGCUUAACACAUGCAAGUCGAACGGAAAGGCCCUGCUUUUGUGGGGUGCUCGAGUGGCGAACGGGUGAGUAACACGUGAGUAACCUGCCCUUGACUUUGGGAUAACUUCAGGAAACUGGGGCUAAUACCGGAUAGGAGCUCCUGCUGCAUGGUGGGGGUUGGAAAGUUUCGGCGGUUGGGGAUGGACUCGCGGCUUAUCAGCUUGUUGGUGGGGUAGUGGCUUACCAAGGCUUUGACGGGUAGCCGGCCUGAGAGGGUGACCGGCCACAUUGGGACUGAGAUACGGCCCAGACUCCGACGGGAGGCAGAAGUGGGGAAUAUUGAACAAUGGGCGGAAGCCUGAUGCAGCAACGCCGCGUGCGGGAUGACGGCCUUCGGGUUGUAAACCGCUUUCGCCUGUGACGAAGCGUGAGUGACGGUAAUGGGUAAAGAAGCACCGGCUAACUACGUG
rnacentral:rRNA from 1 species